UGUAACUUGGUGUUAUUGUGCAUUUUACAUUUUGGUUGUAAGGGUAAUUGGUUGUUAGUUACAU
rnacentral:tRNA from 1 species